CAAGGCGACGAUCCCUAGCUGGUCUGAGAGGAUGACCAGCCACACUGGAACUGAGACACGGUCCAGACUCCUACGGGAGGCAGCAGUGGGGAAUAUUGCACAAUGGGCGCAAGCCUGAUGCAGCCAUGCCGCGUGUAUGAAGAAGGCCUUCGGGUUGUAAAGUACUUUCAGCGGGGAGGAAGGUGUUGUGGUUAAUAACCGCAGCAAUUGACGUUACCCGCAGAAGAAGCACCGGCUAACUCCGUGCCAGCAGCCGCGGUAAUACGGAGGGUGCAAGCGUUAAUCGGAAUUACUGGGCGUAAAGCGCACGCAGGCGGUCUGUCAAGUCGGAUGUGAAAUCCCCGGGCUCAACCUGGGAACUGCAUUCGAAACUGGCAGGCUUGAGUCUUGUAGAGGGGGGUAGAAUUCCAGGUGUAGCGGUGAAAUGCGUAGAGAUCUGGAG
rnacentral:rRNA from 5 species